rnacentral:rRNA from 1 species
CCUACGGGGGGCAGCAGUGGGGAAUAUUGGGCAAUGGGCGCAAGCCUGACCCAGCAACGCCGCGUGAAGGAAGAAGGCUUUCGGGUUGUAAACUUCUUUUCUGAGGGACGAAGAAAGUGACGGUACCUCAGGAAUAAGCCACGGCUAACUACGUGCCAGCAGCCGCGGUAAUCCGUAGGUGGCAAGCGUUAUCCGGAUUUACUGGGUGUAAAGGGCGUGUAGCCGGGUUGACAAGUCAGCUGUGAAAUCCUGCGGCUUAACCGCAGAACUGCAUUUGAAACUGUUGAUCUUGAGUACUGGAGAGGCAGAUGGAAUUCCUAGUGUAGCGGUGAAAUGCGUAGAUAUUAGGAGGAACACUCGUGGCGAAGGCGGGUUCCUGGACAUUAACUGACGCUGAGGCACGAAGGCCAGGGGAGCGAAAAGGAUUAGAUACCCCAGUAGUC